rnacentral:rRNA from 1 species
ACGAACGCUGGCGGCGUGCUUAACACAUGCAAGUCGAACGGGCCUUGUCCCCUUUUUUUUGGGGGUGGGGUUAGUGGCGAACGGGUGAGUAACACGUGAGUAACCUGCCCCUCACUUCUGGAUAACCGCUUGAAAGGGUGGCUAAUACGGGGUGUUCUGGCCUGCUCGCAUGGGUGGGUUUGGAAAGAUUCGACCGGUUUUGGUUGUUUUGGUGGGGGAUGGGGUCGCGGCCUAUCAGCUUGUUGGUGGGGGGGUGGCCUGGCAAGGCUUUGACGGGUAGCCGGCCUGAGGGGGUGGGCGGUCACACUGGGACUGAGACACGGCCCAGACUCCUACGGGAGGCAGCAGUGGGGAAUAUUGCACGAUGGGCGCAAGCCUGAUGCAGCGACGCCGCGUGAGGGAUGGAGGCCUUCGGGUUGUGAACCUCUUUCGCCAGUGAAGAAGGUCCUGCUCUUUGUGGUGGGGUUGACGGUAGCUGGGUUAAUGAAGCGCCGGCUAACUACGUG